rnacentral:rRNA from 1 species
UUACCAAGGCUUGACAUACACCGGUAACGCCCAGAGAUGGUGCCCCUUUGUGGUCGGUGUACAGGUGGUGCAUGGUUGUCGUCAGCUCGUGUCGUGAGAUGUUGGGUUAAGUCCCGCAACGAGCGCAACCCUCGUCCUAUGUUGCCAGCGGGUCAUGCCGGGGACUCAUGGGAGACUGCCGGGGUCAACUCGGAGGAAGGUGGGGAUGACGUCAAAUCAUCAUGCCCCUUAUGUCUUGGGCUUCACGCAUGCUACAAUGGCCGGUACAAAGGGCUGCGAUACCGCGAGGUGGAGCGAAUCCCAGAAAGCCGGUCUCAGUUCGGAUUGGGGUCUGCAACUCGACCCCAUGAAGUCGGAGUCGCUAGUAAUCGCAGAUCAGCAACGCUGCGGUGAAUACGUUCCCGGGCCUU